rnacentral:misc_RNA from 1 species
AAAGUCGUAACAAGGUCUCCGUAGGUGAACCUGCGGAGGGAUCAUUACCGAGUGAAGGGCGCUCCGGCGUCCGAUCUCCCAACCCUUUGAUUUAUCGACCCCAUUCUGCCUCGGGGGCGACCCGGUCCUCGCGGCCGCGGUCCCCCCGGUGGCGACCUAUAACCCUGCAUCAAUUGUCGUCUGAUAUUGAUAUUAAAUUCAAUUAAAACUUUCAACAACGGAUCUCUUGGUUCUG